rnacentral:rRNA from 1 species
GACGAACGCUGGCGGCGUGCUUAACACAUGCAAGUCGAACGGAAAGGCCCUGCUUUUGUGGGGUGCUCGAGUGGCGAACGGGUGAGUAACACGUGAGUAACCUGCCCUUGACUUUGGGAUAACUUCAGGAAACUGGGGCUAAUACCGGAUAGGAGCUCCUGCUGCAUGGUGGGGGUUGGAAAGUUUCGGCGGUUGGGGAUGGACUCGCGGCUUAUCAGCUUGUUGGUGGGGUAGUGGCUUACCAAGGCUUUGACGGGUAGCCGGCCUGAGAGGGUGACCGGCCACGUUGGGGCUGGGGUACGGCCCAGACUCCUACGGGAGGCAGCAGUGGGGAAUAUUGCACAAUGGGCGGAAGCCUGAUGCAGCAACGCCGCGUGCGGGGUGACGGCCUUCGGGUUGUAAACCGCUUUCGCCUGUGACGAAGCGUGAGUGACGGUAAUGGGUAAAGAAGCACCGGCUAACUACGUG